rnacentral:rRNA from 1 species
CCUACGGGUGGCAGCAGUGAGGAAUAUUGGUCAAUGGGCGGGAGCCUGAACGAGCCAAGUCGCGUGAGGGACGACGGUCCUAUGGAUUGUAAACCUCUUUUGUCGGGGAACAAAGGUGCCCACGGGUGGGCGGAUGAGUGUACCCGAAGAAAAAGCAUCGGCCAACACCGUGCCAGCAGCCGCGGUAAUACGGAGGAUGCGAGCUUUAUCCGGUUUGAUUGGGUUUAAAGGGUGCGUAGGCGGACGGUAAAGUCAGCGGUAAACAUGCGGUGCUCAACGCCGUACAGCCGUUGAAACUGGCAGUCUUGAGUGGGCUAGAAGUAUGCGGAAUGCGUGGUGUAGCGGUGAAAUGCAUAGAUAUCACGCAGAACUCCGAUUGCGAAGGCAGCAUACCGGCGCCCUACUGACGCUGAGGCACGAAAGCGUGGGUAUCGAACAGGAUUAGAUACCCGGGUAGUC